rnacentral:lncRNA from 1 species
GAUAAUUAGGGCCCCGCCAAAGGCGGGUCCCCUAUAGUGAUCAGUCUGUCCGUCCGUCCGUCCGUCCGUCCGUAACACUUUGUGUCCGCUCCAUAUCUAGAGAACCAUUAUGAUUUCAUACUUUUUACUUUACAUGUUUAUUAACCACCACCAGAGGGCGUGUCAUGAUGUAUGUACAACUUCCUAGGUCAAAGGUCAAGGUAAAAAAACUUUGGUUUCAGUUGACAACCCUGUGUCCUGUGGUGAAGAUCGUGUCCGCUCUAUAUCUUGAGAACCAUUAUGAUUUCAAAG